AACUAAAUGUUCUCAUGCAUAUUUACCAGUCCAUUUGUCAUCAUUUGCCACGUAAUGACGCCCAUUGUUGAAGCAAGCCACUUAGCCAGGAAUUCUAAGCUGUCAUCAAUCCUACAGCUGUACUGUAGUAUGCCUGUAGUAGAAAUGGAAUCACAAAUUUCAAUAUCACAGAAAUCUUACUAAUUUUCUUAUCUUGUCUUCCAGAUGCAUGUUUUGUAGAUGGUGAAUCUCAAGUGAAACUAAGAACUUUCAGUCGUCAUUACAUAUAAUUGACUAUCGUUUCCAAUUUUGAUAAUGUUUAAUAAUCCUUUCAGUUUAAUCUUUCAACGUUGUGCCAUAGACCUUGUCCACUGGUGGAAUAGGAUUAUUAUGGCGAGAUAUGUUGAACUUGUUCCAGGUUAAUCUUUCGCCAUUUUGAAACGAUGUGAAGCACUUGAAAUGAAAGAUUAACAGAAGGCGUUAGUUUAUUUUUGCAAAAAUUGUGUCAGACGACUAAAUCAAUUUUUAAUUCAACAAUCUCAUGCAUCUACAAGUUUACUGAUGCAUAUCGUGAUUCUUAAUCAUUAGGCACAUUUUGGCGAGAAUAAACGUAAUUUAAAUAAUU
rnacentral:lncRNA from 1 species